GCCACCUGGGAGGCUGAGAUGAGAGGAGUGCUUAUGCCCUGGAGGUCAACGCUGCAGUGAGCUGUGAUUGCACCACUGCACUCCACCUGACAGAGUGACACCCCCCCAUCUCUAAAAAAUAAAAAAAAAAAAGUGGGAAGAACAAUCACACCACGGUUUAACUGAUCAGCUACGAUGGGAACUGUGAAAGGCAUUCCACAGAGUGAAUCAAGGCUUCAGGAGGAGGCCCUGACUUAUCCUGGAGGCAGAGGGUUCUCCCAGGAAUGGCGUCUUAGCUGAAGCCUGACCCAGAAGGUAGACGGGCAGGAACGAGGUAAUGUGGAGACUGUUGGGAGCAGGCAAGGACUUCAUCCCAAGGCAAUGGGAGGCCCUCUGUACUCCCUCUUGUGAUAACUGCUUCCCUUCUUUCGGGCAGUGCUCCUGACCCCACUCUAGCUGUGUGGGUGGGUCCCUACCUGGUUGAGUCAACCAGAUCCCAUCCCUGGGAUUUUAAACUUGGAACCAGAAGGAGAGUGAUCAUCACCUCUUUUCUAGGGUGAAUCAAUGAGAAGUGAGGCUCCGAAGCUUGGAUCUCAAGUUCACAGAAGCAGCUGGUUGAGGGUGAAGCUUGCACACAGAGGCCAAGGAAGGAUGCCUACCCAUGUCCAGCUGCCCCAGGGCCCUUUCAGGACUGCUAUUUUGAGCCCCUUCCUUCCUUAACUGGUUUGAAUUGGUCACCGUCACUUGCAACCUAUUGAGUCCUAGCUAAUGUACCAUGACAGGGUUCAAGACUUGGUCAGAGAAGAGCUGGGGUAUAGGAUGCUGGGGAAGGGUACCCAUUAAUCCUCCCUUCUAAGUGGUAACUGAGAGAAUGAACAAGAACAAUAUACAGUUAAAUGAAAAUAAAAAGGCACAGUGGCUCAAGCCUAUAAUCCCAGCACUUUGGGAGGCCGAGGCAGGCAGAUCACAAGGUCAGGAGUUCGAGACCAGCCUAACCAACAUGGUGAAACCCCAUCUCUACUAAAAUUACAAGAAUUAGCCAGGCGUGAUGGCGCGCCACCUGUAAUCCCAGCUGCUCAGGAGGCUGAGCAGGAGAAUCACUUGAACCCGGGAGGCGGAAGUUGCAGUGAGCUGAGAUCAUGCCACUGCACUCCAGCCUGGGCGACAGAGCAAGACUCCGUCUUAAAAAAAAAAAAAAAGAAAAUAAACACAGACGCUUUAAGGAUCAGUUAACAACAAGACACAGACUCUAAUAUUCACUGACAUAAAGUUUCAGAAAGGGCAAAAUUAAUCUCUGGUGACAGGGGCCAGAACAGUGAUGACCUGGGGUGGGGUGUGGGUUGGUCUCUCCUGUGAGGUUUGGAAGGGCAGGUACACACGCGUGUGCACUUACCAAAACCUACUGCACUGUGCAUCCGACUGCACUGAUGUCCCUGGCUUCUUUGAGGCAACUUGGGUGACAGGCCAUCCUCCUAACUAGUUCUCCCCAAGUGCUGGGAUCACAGGUGUGAGCCACUGCACCUGGCCCUGUUCAGAUUUUCUAUUUUUCCUGGGACAAUUUUGGUCAUUUGUAUCUUUCUAGGAAUUUUUUUGUUGUUGUUUUGAGACAGAGUCUCACUCUGUCACCCAAGCUGGAGUGCAAUGGCAUGAUCUCAGCUCACUGCAACCUCUGCCUCCUGGGUUCAAGUGAUUUUCCUGCCUCAGCCUCGUGAAUAGCUGGGAUUACAGGUGUGAGCCACCACGCCUGGCUAAUUUUUGUGUUUUUAGUAGAGACAGGGUUUCACCACUUUGGCCAGGUUGGUCUCGAACUUCUGACCUCAGGUGAUCUGCCUGCCUCGGCCUCCCAAAGUGCCGCGAUUACAGGCGUGAGCCACCACACCCAGCCAAGAUGUCGCAUCUUUUUAAAUGUUGGCAUUUGCAGCUAUAAAUUUCCCUCAGAGCAGUUUUUGCCGCAUUCCUUAAGUUCUGGUAUGUUGUUUUCAUCCAUCUCUAUUUCCUAAUUUUUCUCGUGAUUUCUCCUUUGACCCUUUGGCUGUUAAAAAGUGUGUUCAAUUUCUAUGUAUGUGUGAAUUUUCAUUUUCCUUCUGGUAUGGAUUUCUGGUUUUAUUCCAUUGUGAUUGGAGAAGGUGGUUUGCAGGAUUCCGAUCUCUAAUUUACUGAGACUUGCUUUGUGCACUAACGUGUGGUCUGUCCUGGAGAACGUUCCCUGUGCACUUAGAAACGUGUGUUCUGCUGCUAUUGGGUGGAGCACUGUUAAGUCUGGUCAGCCUUUUGGUUUUUAUGUAAUACUUGGCACAUUCACAAGAAAAUGUGUGAAACAGAAAGUACGACAAAGUGAAACCCACGAAGCCACCACUGACCCUGAGGUUCAAAACCUCCAGCAUCUCUGCUCUUCCCUAAGCACAGCUCCGUCCCCUCCCCACGGGUGAGCACUGUGUUGUACUGACUCCCUGCCCUCCCUGAUGACUUUAGCACCUGGGUAUGAAUUCCACACAUAUUUGGUUUUGAGCUUUAUAAAAAUGGCAUCAUACUGUAUGAACUGUCUUGCUUUUUCAUCCCACGUUGUUUCUGAGAGGUGUUUGUGAUGGAGCACAGGGCCAC
rnacentral:lncRNA from 1 species